rnacentral:rRNA from 1 species
CCCAUAAGAGGGGGGAUAACAUCCGGAAACGGGUGCUAAUACCGCAUAGUUUUCUUGAUCGCAUGAUUGAGAAAGGAAGACGGCCUUUGUGCUGUCGCUUAUGGAUGGACCCGCGGCGUAUUAGUUGGUGAGGUAAUGGCUCACCAAGACGAUGAUACGUAGCCGACCUGAGAGGGUGAUCGGCCACAUUGGGACUGAGACACGGCCCAAACUCCUACGGGAGGCAGCAGUAGGGAAUCUUCCGCAAUGGACGAAAGUCUGACGGAGCAACGCCGCGUGAGUGAAGAAGGUUUUCGGGAAUCGUAAAACUCUGUUGUCAGAGAAGAACAAGUUGGAGAGUAACUGCUCCAGCCUUGACGGUAUCUGACCAGAAAGCCACGGCUAACUACGUGCCAGCAGCUGC